AUUCCCCUAGUAACGGCGAGUGAAGCGGGAACAGCUCAAAUUUGAAAUCUGGCCCUUGGGUCCGAGUUGUAAUUUGCAGAGGAUGCUUUUGGUGCGGUGCCUUCCGAGUUCCCUGGAACGGGACGCCUUAGAGGGUGAGAGCCCCGUACGGUUGGCCACCAAGCCUGUGUAAAGCUCCUUCGACGAGUCGAGUAGUUUGGGAAUGCUGCUCAAAAUGGGAGGUAUAUUUCUUCUAAAGCUAAAUACUGGCCAGAGACCGAUAGCGCACAAGUAGAGUGAUCGAAAGAUGAAAAGCACUUUGAAAAGAGGGUUAAAUAGCACGUGAAAUUGUUGAAAGGGAAGGAUUUAUGACCAGACUUUUUCUAGGGGGAUCAUCCGGUGUUCUCACCGGUGCACUUCCCCUAGUUGAGGCCAGCAUCGGUUUCUGUCGGGGGAUAAAAGCUUCAGGAAUGUGGCUCCCUCCGGGGAGUGUUAUAGCCUGUUGCAUAAUACCCUGACGGGGACCGAGGUUCGCGCAUUGCAAGGAUGCUGGCGUAAUGGUUAUUAAUCACCCGUCUUGAAACACGGACCAAGGAGUCGAACAUUUGUGCGAGUGUUUGGGUGUUAAACCCUCACGCGUAAUGAAAGUGAACGGAGGUGAGAGCCCUUCGGGGUGCAUCAUCGACCGAUCCUGAUGUCUUCGGAUGGAUUUGAGUAAGAGCAUAACUGUUCGGACCCGAAAGAUGGUGAACUAUGCGUGGAUAGGGUGAAGCCAGAGGAAACUCUGGUGGAGGCUCGCAGCGGUUCUGACGUGCAAAUCGAUCGUCAAAUCUGCGCAUGGGGGCGAAAGACUAAUCGAACC
rnacentral:rRNA from 2 species